GGAGGGGUGGCUGAGUGGUUUAAGGCGGCGGUCUUGAAAACCGUUGACUCGUUUACGCGGGUCCGGGGGUUCGAAUCCCUCCCCCUCCGCCA
rnacentral:tRNA from 2 species